rnacentral:lncRNA from 1 species
UGGGAAGCCAGCCGCCAUCUUGUGGAGACACUUGGGCAGCCCACUGGGGAACUGAGGCCUCCUGCCCACAGCCCCAUGUGAGUGAGCCAUCUGGAAAGGGGGUCUUCCAGUCUACCAAGCCUUCAGAUGGCUUCAGCCCUGGCUGACAUCUUAACUGCACCCUCACGAGAGACCUUGAGCCAGAAUAACCCAGCUGAGCCUCUCCCAAGUUCCUAAGCCACAGAAACGGACGCCUGGCCGGGGAGUGUGCGAUGGGAUUUCGCUUUUCCCGGGGAAGCUGGAGAGGAUGCAACCGACAGCUCGGGGCGCGGAGGAGGAGGCAGUGGCGGGGAUCCGGGCUGGCUGCCUCCCGAGUCUGUGCGUCGCACUGAGGCACCGGGCUGUCUCAACAGUAGCUCUGGCUGCAAAGUGAUCCGCCCAAGAAAAGAGAUGGCUCAGAUGUGGAGGCUGAAAGAGAAACCUGAGAAAGAAAAGCAGAGGGAGGAGAAGCGGAUGAGGAAUCUUGUCAUCGAUGCUGCGGCACCAUUCCGUUCUUCGGUGUCUGUGCUGCUGUGACAUCAUAUCCUGUUGAUAAGGGACCCUUGCCACAUCCCAGUCUUC